CGGGUGACUCUAAGGUCUAUAUCCUCAACAGUCGCGUUGUGCCAGAUCGAGGUAGCAUUCACCGUCGUCUGAUCCAUGAAAUUUGAGAUCGCCGUCGCAUGGGUGGCCGAUGGCCAACACGCGUAGGUCAUGGAUGACCCUCCCUCACAAGCCAUGCAGUCUGGCUCACCACCUCAGGCCGACGCUGUGCCUCCUCGGCGGGGCAGGCGACGACCUCUUCCUCCUCGUGUUGUCUCCGUCCUCCUACUCAAGCCAUCGCCGUCGCCUCCCAUCCUUCGUGGCCUGCCUGUGUGAGCCCACUGCUGGAGGACGACAUAGAACAUGGAGCAGAUCCCAGCCGGAGCGGUCCGACGUGGUGUUCGUGGCCAAGGAGCGGUGGUCGACGCCAUCGAGCAGGGGCCCUCGGUCGCCUGCCCUCCUCUUGCUGCUAUCCUCCACGUCCCUGAAGAACAGUAUCGAGAGCAGCACGGAACAGACGCAAUCGACAGUACUACAUUACUGCAGUCUGCACAUGUUGUGUUGAGGGGAGGAGUUGCUAGCAGUGGCGGAGCUACGCAGCCAAAGCUGGGCGGGCCGGCAUGAAGGAAGAUCACUAUUUUUUGUUCUCAUGAACCAGUUUACUUUAAUCCUACACUGUAUUUGCCGUGGGAUGGGUGGGCCAUGGCCCAUUUUCGUAAUGCUUAGCUCUGCCAGUGGUUGCUAGCAUGCCAUAAUAUUGUGCUUCCCUUCUCUACAAUCAUGCUCGUUUGAUGCAUUGCUUCACAUCACCAAGUUAUUGGUUCGACUGAGGUAUCAGGUAUGCAUCUUUUAGAUAAUGGAAGGCCUGCAUCUAAACUUCUAAAGAAACACAUUAUGUGAGUUAACUAUUCUAUUUGAUGAAUUGUCGUGUAAGCUUGGUAGUUCAGAAAAUAUUUUGUUUCUUAUAUCAUGUGGUCAACACAAUGGAGAAACAGAAGAGAACAUUUAUCGUUUAGUUUCUUAAUAUCAUAUUUUAGGUUUUGUAAUUUUAUGUGUGUAGAAUGUUCCUAUAUUAAAUUUAUCAUUUUCAUAAAUAUAUUAUGACUCUGAAUGUUGUUAAAGUUGUAGGUUUUCUUGGCCUAAUUCCAUCGCAUCAUUAACUGUUUGGUGUAUCCACAGAAGCAUAAGGAUAAUUUUCCAAUAAAUCACUAGGCAUGUACUUCCAGGAAUUUGCAGGGAAUUUUACAUGAUUUUCGGCACAAAUCUGAAUUUGUCCAGACCCCGCAACUCCUCAUGUCCUUCACACUCCUUGGAUUCACUGGAGUCUGGACACCGGAGGUGUGCAAAAGCCCCGGUGUCAGUUUGUUCAGAGAGGGAGUCAGGUAGCCCCGAAGGAAGACCCUGUUUUCAAAUCUUAGCUCCGCCACUGAUAGGUGGGGUGCCGGCCGAGGAGGCAACAUCCACUUCUUCUGUGGACAAGGCCGGAGAUCCCGAGAGCAUCAGUAGAAUAGGAGGAGGAGGCAUAAGAGGCUGAGAGGGGUGACAUGGAGCAUCAGAAGGUGCCCUCGCUGCAAGAGAGGGGCCCCUGCCAAUAGUCCUUGUGGGCUUGUGGCACUGGCCACACGCAGUGCAUCACCAACCAUGAUCGUCCAGGCUGUGGCAUGGGGGUCGUGCUUGCUGCUGGUCCAACGAUUCCCCCACCCUGAUGAUAAGGCCUCAUCCAUUCAAUUUUGACUAUGUAGACCACUAGCUUUUGGUAAGUGCAGCAUGCUGAAGUUACUUGAUAGCUAUUUUCGUGUUCUGUAAUUCGGUGGUACAAGGUUGUCACAGCCCUAGAAUUCUGCUUUGUAAUUAGUUGCAUCAGUGAGUUGCAUCCAUGCAUCAUGUUUUAAUUCAAGAAACUGGAAUUGAGGGAAUUCCGAAAGCCUCAAAAUUCAAUUAAAAGAAGGGCAAGAACCCUUAAAAUUGCAUUCA